rnacentral:rRNA from 1 species
GUGCCAGCCGCCGCGGUAACACGUAGGGGGCGAGCGUUGUUCGGAAUUACUGGGCGUAAAGGGCAUGUAGGCGGCUCUGUAAGUCCGGCGUGGAAGCCCACGGCUCAACCGUGGGAUUGCGUUGGAAACUGCGGGGCUUGAAUCAUGGAGAGGGAGCUAGAAUUCCAGGUGUAGGGGUGAAAUCUGUAGAGAUCUGGAAGAAUACCAGUGGCGAAGGCGAGCUCCUGGCCAAUGAUUGACGCUGAGGUGCGAAAGUGUGGGGAUCAAACAGGAUUAGAAACCCCAGUAGUCC